AUAUCAUAUAUACAUUAGCAGAAUGAAUGUGUUUACCUCUAUCAUGUACAGCAGAGCCAGCUCUGUGGGAACUCCUCCAUUACAGAAGACCUGGACCCAGGUUCUCUGGCCCCCUGCAAUGAUUUUAGUAGAUUUAAAAUCGGGUUAGUUUGGAGGAGGUGAGGAAAAAGGUCAACAGGGAGGCGAAGAAGCUGAAGUUGGCCAUCAUCAACACAAACCCCACCAGGAGAGCUGAGGAAACAAAGGCUAGACUGGAGAAACUGUCUGAAUCAACACAAAUUUCCAUUCAUGGCAGCUGUGCCUAAAUGGACACUCACCUCCCAGGGCUCCAGUACUGUCCAGACUUCGUCUCUUCAGUGCUCUGACCGACAGCACAAGAGGAAUAAGGAUGGAAAACAACCAGCGCCACGGUGAAACAGGCUGCAAUGUGCCUGUAAUCACACGCACUGGUUACGCUGCCAUCCUCACAUCUGCUACUGAUCUGCUACAGUUUCUCAUAUGGGAAUUAAAUAAUUAAAUCCUAGUCCAACAUGUUCCUCUGAUGUAAAGUUCUGAUUUGAAGAACUGUGUUUAAUGUGACCCCAAAAACAAAACAGUGUGACAGGCCAUGGCCUGAAUGGUUACAUGAUUUUUUUUUUUCUAGGAAAGAUGAUGCCUAAACCGUGAGGGAAGAAAUAAGCAUGAAAACCGAGAACUGAGAGAGCUAUUAUGAGAAGAACGCGUGAUUUAAUUUAUCCGUGUUUUAUUGUUUAACGCCUAAAAAGCUUAAUGCAGCUGCUCAGAAAUCUUAGGGCCAUGUAUAGGUUACAGUAGUGUAUUAAAAUUGUAUUGAAUUCACGUGUUAUGAGGUUGUUUUUGUGCUCUUUGCGAGCAACAUCUUAUCCAAUCUCUGCAUAUAUCUUUGUGGCUCUACUUUAUUGCAGAGAAAUUUAACCUAUUGAAGAGA